ACGUACACUCCUGCGGAGGCAGCAGUGGGGAAUAUUGGACAAUGGGCGCAAGCCUGAUCCAGCCAUGCCGCGUGAGUGAUGAAGGCCCUAGGGUUGUAAAGCUCUUUCACCGGUGAAGAUAAUGACGGUAACCGGAGAAGAAGCCCCGGCUAACUUCGUGCCAGCAGCCGCGGUAAUACGAAGGGGGCUAGCGUUGUUCGGAUUUACUGGGCGUAAAGCGCACGUAGGCGGACUAUUAAGUCAGGGGUGAAAUCCCGGGGCUCAACCCCGGAACUGCCUUUGAUACUGGUAGUCUUGAGUUCGAGAGAGGUGAGUGGAAUUCCGAGUGCAGAGGUGAAAUUCGUAGAUAUUCGGAGGAACACCAGUGGCGAAGGCGGCUCACUGGCUCGAUACUGACGCUGAGGUGCGAAAGCGUGGGGAGCAAACAGGAUUAGAUACCCUAGUAGUCCC
rnacentral:rRNA from 1 species